GGGUUUAAUACCUGUUUGUUUCAUUUUUUUGUGUCUUUUAUUUUUUUAUCUUUUUUUAAAUUCUGGGUAUUUUAAUACCCUUUCAAAAGAAUCGGAUCACACAGAACAGGCACAACGACUCUCUGUUUUCUCCUUCACACCAUAGUCAAGAAACCCUCACCUUCUCCGCUUCCGGCCUCCCUUCUCCUCCGCCUCAGGCCUUCUCCUCCGGCUAUCCGCCUCCACUGGCCAAAUUAUGCAAGAAUCAUUGAAAAGAAAGUUUCAUGGGAUCCCGCCGAAUGAAAACCAAUUUUGUCUAAUGAUGUUAACCAAAGAGAUGAAAUUAGACGGGCGUAUUUGAAUAAAGAUCCAUGUUAACCGCAAGGUCAUGUUUUUUCAAAACGAGAUAUUGGUGGUAGAUUAAGACAAUUUAAUCC